UUACGACCACAUCACGUUGAAGCACCGGUUCCCGUACGAUCACUGGAGUUAAGCAACGUCGAGCCUGGUCAGUACCUAGACAAGUGGCCUCUUGAGAAUACCAGGUGCUGUAAG